AUUGUGUACCUUUCCCCAGCUCCCAACCAGGAGCUAGUUCUAGGCCUGUGUUAUAUUUAGCCUUUUAUUAUAUGACCUUUGAUUUCUGUUGUUUGUAUUUUAGCCCAGUGUAUGCACCUUCAUUUAAAUACAUCUGUGUGCAUACAGAUAUGUGUAUAUGUAUGUGCAUAUGCAUAUAUCUCUCUCAUCUGUAAUUUCUGAGAGUUCAGCUGAAGCAGACGGAGUCCUACAGCCCAGGAGACACAUUGCAUCCUUGCUAACCGUGUUCACCACAAGUGUUAGUGAGUCUUCCCUAUUAACGUUUCAUUUCGGAAGACUGAAUGAAGCAAAGCUUAUAGUGUUUGCUGUUUCCAUGGCAGCC
rnacentral:lncRNA from 1 species